rnacentral:rRNA from 1 species
AUCGAACGCUGGCGGCAGGCCUAACACAUGCAAGUCGAGCGGAGCGGCGGACGGGUGAGUAAUGCCUAGGAAUCUGCCUGGUAGUGGGGGAUAACGUCCGGAAACGGGCGCUAAUACCGCAUACUAUCAGAUGAGCCUCGGUCGGAUUAGCUAGUUGGUGGGGUAAUGGCCUACCAAGGCGACGAUCCGUAACUGGUCUGAGAAGAUGAUCAGUCACACUGGAACUGGGACACGGUCCAGACUCCUACGGAAGGCAGCAGUGGGGAAUAUUGGACAAUGGGCGAAAUCCUGAUCCAGCCAUGCCGCGUGUGUGAAAAGGGUCUGCGGAUGGUAAAGCAAUUUAAGUUGGAAGACGGUACCAACAGAAUAAGCACCGGCUAACUACGUGCCAGCAGCCGCGGUAAUAC